rnacentral:rRNA from 1 species
CGGCUNCCACAUCCAAGGAAGNCAGCAGGCGCGCAAAUUACCCAAUCCUGACACAGGGAGGUAGUGACCAAUAAAUAACAAUACUGGGCCUUUUCAGGUCUGGUAAUUGGAAUGAGUACAAUCUAAACCCCUUAACGAGGAUCAAUUGGAGGGCAAGUCUGGUCCCAGCAGCCGCGGUAAUUCCAGCUCCAAUAGCGUAUAUUUAAGUUGCUGCAGUUAAAAAGCUCGUAGUUGGAUUUCGGGUGGGGCCUGCCGGUCCGCCGUUUCGGUGUGCACUGGCAGGGCCCACCUUGUUGCCGGGGACGGGCUCCUGGGCUUCACUGUCCGGGACUCGGAGUCGGCGCUGUUACUUUGAGUAAAUUAGAGUGUUCAAAGCAGGCCUACGCUCUGAAUACAUUAGCAUGGAAUAACACGAUAGGACUCUGGCCUAUCG